GGGGAACCUCAAGUGCAAUAAUCUGGAGCUAGUAGCAGCAGAGCUGUCACCACUUCUAGGCCCGAAUGGCCAAGUCGGGGAGGGGAGCGUUUACGGACCUGGAAUGAGAAAGAGUUACGUGGAGUCAGCCCCUGAGAGGAGGAGUGACCUUAAGCUGAGGGACAGAGCCAGCCCAAGUCACUGCCACAAGAAGGGGGACAAGGGAAUCAAUCCCCUGACCUCGCUCUCCUCCCUUCCUCAGCUCUCCAGCUGGGACUCUCCUUCGGCCAAAUCCAACCUGAAGCCAGAAGCACAGGACUCCUGUCAAUUACGCUUCUACGCGUCAGCUUCCUUGGGCAGAAGGCAGGGUGGGGAAGAGCAGAGGGCUGAAGAUAUCCAGCAUGGGGCAUCCAGUCUCCAGGGAACUCGGCCUUCCUCAGUAAGGCCUCCCUAUCAGGUGCACCCAUGGUUAUCUGUUCUAGCAGGGCCGGAUUCUCAAGCUGUGGUCAAGCACAUCUUGUCCUGUGGCUCAUGGUUCAUAGCACAGGUCUCUUCAGUCUUAACCUGGAUGCGGAGCGCUUGUUUCCUUCCUGUUGUCUCUGCGUCAUGUGAACCCUGGGACCCCCCUUAUCACUGUGUUUGCCUGUAAGUGGCACUGGUCAUUCUUGCACAGAGAUGAAGGCAUUGAUUUGCGACUUUGAAUUCAUGUUGUAUUCCUACUGCCGGAGCCUAAAAACCUCUUGCUUUUGCCGCUUCUCUCCUCCUCUCCCACCACCAGCCCGUGACAUUUCAGUGGGAAGCUCUUACCACAGUUUGACAUCCUCCUCUCUUGUCCCUGGGGCUGCCCUCCCUGCAAACGUUGCUCCUUUCUUGUAGCUUGUGGCCUUGACCAGAGGUUUCAGGGCCCUCCUGGUAGCCAGCUCCACGACAGCAGCUCCACGACAGCAAAUCCUGUCUCUGAAGAUAAGGCUAACAGGGGAAGGAGUGGGGGCCCAAAUUGGCCAAGGGUAUCUGCCCUAGUCCACCUCACCCCUUCCUGGAGACGCUCUAGUUUCUUAAUAAAUCAUGUAUCAUUUGAGGCUGGAUUUAACAUAAAUUUCCAGCCGUGGGGUCAUACAAGAAAGUUUGGGGGUUUUUUGUUUGUUUGUUUGUUUUUAAAGCUUAUUUUAUUUCGUUUUAUUUUUUGAGGAAGAUUUGACCUGAACUAACAUCUGUGGCCAAUCCUCCCCUCUUUUGCUGAGGAAGACUGGCCCUGAGCUAACAUCUGUGCCCAUCUUCCCCUACUUUAUAUGUGGGACGCCUACCACAGCAUGGCUUGCCAAGCGGUGCCACGUCCGCACCCGGGAUCUGAACUGGCGAACCCUGGGCCACCAAAGCAGAACAUGUGAACUUAACCACUGCACCGUGGGGCUGGCCCCUGGGGAUUUUUUUUUGACAUCAGUCUCCUGAGCUCACUUCACUUCACAGGGUGUGUGUCUCCAUUUUCCACUGACUGCUGUCUUGCCAU
rnacentral:lncRNA from 1 species